ACACAGAAGAAAAAAUGUGGAAGAUCUUGGUUCUGCUAGCUGUGGUUCUUGUAAUACAAGAUACUGAUGGUUUCUGGUGGAGAAGAAGAAGGUAUGUACACACGGCAACAGUAUGUGAACAUCGCCUAAUGAAAUUGAAUUGCGGAGGACAUCGGUCCAUUCUAGUGCACUCUGCUACGUAUGGCCGACAAAACUCGAGAACCUGUUCAAGAAAGUAUACUAGUCAUUGGAGCACAACUUGUAGAUCCAGAAAAUCCCUGUUUGUAGUAAAAAAAAUUAUGCCACGGGAAAAGUAGAUGCUCCAUUAAAGCCAGCAAUUCCGUAUUUGGAGAUCCAUGUAAAGGAACCUACAAAUACCUAAGAGUGAAGUUUUAUUGCAAAAAGAGACGCUUUCGCGGAAGAGAUCUGUAUGAGGAAAUCGGAAGAGGUCUGAAUGAGGAAGACCAAAGAGAGAUUGAAGACAUGAGGAGGCCAGGAUAGAUGAAGAUAUGGAGUAACUAAGAAACUCAAGUCUGAAAUUGUGUUCUUAGUGUCACUACAUUAAAACAAGUAAUGAGAACA